CGGCGGACGGGUGAGUAACGCGUGAGAAACCUGCCUUUCACUAGGGAAUAGCCUCGGGAAACCGGGAUUAAUACCCUACGAUACUAAAGCUUCGCAUGAAGCCUUAGUCAAAACGUAAAGUGGUGAAAGAUGGUCUCACGUCCCAUUAGUUAGUUGGUAGGGUAAUGGCCUACCAAGGCAAUGAUGGGUAGCCGGCCUGAGAGGGUGACCGGCCACACUGGAACUGAGACACGGUCCAGACUCCUACGGGAGGCAGCAGUGGGGAAUAUUGCACAAUGGAGGAAAACUCUGAUGCAGCGACGUCGCGUGAAUGAUGAAGGCCUUCGGGUCGUAAAAUUCUGUCCUUGGGGAAGAUAAUAACGGUACCCAAGGAGGAAGCCCCGGCUAACUACGUGCCAGCAGCCGCGGUAAUACGUAGGGGGCGAGCGUUAUCCGGAUUUAUUGGGCGUA
rnacentral:rRNA from 1 species